rnacentral:misc_RNA from 1 species
UAGCAUUCCAUGUAGACUUUUGGCACUGCAUGGUCGAAACCAAAACAACACCAAUUGUCGUUCACACAUGGCGUGGGAAGCCUUUUAGGGGCAAAUAGAGACCGGUGAUGCCUCGUACCCGCGAGGUAUUCAAAUGACCGUGAGAACGAACGUCAUGCCAUCCAUCCAACAACCCAAGAUCAUCGAAGAAAUCGG